rnacentral:rRNA from 1 species
GACAGAGGGGGCAAGCGUUGUUCGGAAUUAUUGGGCGUAAAGGGCGCGUAGGCGGUUUGACAAGUCUGAUGUGAAAUCUAUGGGCUCAACCCAUAGCCUGCAUUAGAAACUGUCGGGCUUGAGUAUGGGAGAGGUGAGUGGAAUUUCCGGUGUAGCGGUGAAAUUCGUAGAUAUUCGCAAGAACACCAGUGGCGAAGGCGGCUCACUGGCCCGAUACUGACGCUGAAGCACGAAAGCGUGGGGAGCAAACAGG